UCAUUUAUCUAUUUUUGCUUUCAUUACCUGUGUUUUUAGUGUCAUAUCCAAUAAAUCAUUGUCAAGUCCAGUGUCAUGAAGCUUUCCCUAUAUGUUUUCUUAUAGGAAUUUUAUAAAUUUAGGUUUUAUGUUUAAGUCAUUAAUAUAUUUUGAGUUAAUGGUGUAAAAUAAAGGCCCAACUUCAUUCUUUUGCAUGUAGAUAUCCAGUUUUUUCAAUAUCAGUUGUUGAAGAGACUGUUUUUCCCCACUGAGUGGUCUUGGCGUCCUUGUCAAAGAUCAUAGGUCACUUCGGACAUUAUGAACAAUGUAACAAUAUUAAGUUAUCUAAUCCAUGAACACAGGAUAUCUUUCAUUUAUUAGUGUCUGCUUUAAUUUCAUUCAGCAACGUUUUAUGGUUUGCAGUGUACAAGCUUCUCAUCUCCUUGGUUAGGUUUAUUCCUAAGCUUUUUAUUGUUUUGAGUGAAAUUGUAAAUGGAUUUGUUUUCUUAAUUUCCUUUUUGGAUUGUUCAUUAUUCAUGUAUAGAAAUGCAACUGAUUUCUGUGUGUUGGUUUUGUACCUUGCAACUUUGCGUUUCUUUAAAUGUGGUCCAUGAACCACCUGAAAUAAUUUUUAGCACAUUCUCCAUUCUAGCUAACUGUACUUUGGGAAGAAAAAGGGGUUUAUGUGGCAAGAAUCUGCAUUAUUAACAAGUUUUCAGUUUUUUCCAAUUCUGUGAAAAAAGUCAUUGGUAGCUUGAUGGGGAUGGCAUUAAAUCUAUAAAUUACCUUGGGCAGUAUGGCCAUUUUCACAAUAUUGAUUCUUCCUAUCCCUGAGCAUGGAAUGUUCUUCCAUUUGUUUGCAUCCUCUUUUAUUUCCUUGAGCAGUGGUUUGUAGUUCUCCUUGAAGAGGUCCUUCACAUUCCUUGUAAGUUGGAUUCCUGGGUAUUUUAUUCUUUGAAGCAAUUGUGAAUGG
rnacentral:lncRNA from 1 species